UUCAGUAUGAAACAUGACAAGUUACUAGAAUGAAUUUGGUUUUGGAAAACAAAAAAAGAAAGAAAAUCCAAGAUGACUGCAGACUUGUGGACUGGGUGAUGUUGCAAUAUUUUUAGCACACAGUUACAGGAAGUAUUCUCCUCAGUCAGAAUUGGGAAGAUGUGUACUGCACCCUUUACAUGGUGUGACGGGGCUGACCCAUCACUCUCGGGGACAGGCACGGUUCGGGGGUGCCCCGAACCAGGAGAGACACCGAUGGGGCCCGGAGGCCCGGGCACCAGGGAGGACCAGCGCCCGCCCGGCCCCACGCCGAGCGUGACGCCACCGGCGUACCGGGGAAACCUGACGCUUGCGGAUGACGUGGGGAGGUGGGACGGAAGGCGUUGGCAGCUAGAGGAAUGGAAGAGAGAAUCAAGAUGCCUGGAUGUGGAAGCUGUGGUUUGUGUGUUAUCCUGGAGCAGUGCUUGGAAAAGAGCUUCAUUUGCAGGAAGUGCUGCCUUCUAAAGCUAAUGGAAGAGAAGAUUGGAGUUUUAGAUAGAGAAACUACAGUGGAUUUAUGAAGGGGAUUUGAGCAGAUGAUGAAGGAAAAGUUAGAAGAGACUGCAGGUAAAACUCAAGAUCACAAAUGCAAUCUGUGCCACUGGCUGAUUGCCUGUUUGCCUUCAUAUGUCUUCUCAUCAGGAAAGCCCCACCAAUUGGAGCUCUGCUGUAAUCAAAGGUUCUUCUAUAACAGCACACUGCCUCCAACCAGCCACUGCCCACCAACCCCCCUCCAAAAUAUCAUACCCAGCAAGCAAGCAAGGAAGCACUCGGGGGCUUGCCUCCUUUUUUCUCCCCCCAAUAGACCUCCAAGCAAGCUCUUAUUUCCAACUCUGUUUCCUGCCUCCUGUACUGGCUGCAGGAGAUUUUUCUAAAGCACACCAGAAUUUGUCAUGUAACUGACACUUGCACUUUAGAAACAUUUUCCCCUUUGGCUGUGAAAUUUGCAGGUUGUAGCUCCUAUAGGCUACGUCUA